AUGGUGUGGAUGAACCGCUUGGCACAGAGUGACCUUCUCAGUGAGACUUCUUUGGCGUGUGUGUGCGCUCAGUCGUGUCCAGCCCUUUGUGGUCCCGUGGACUGCAGCCCACCAGGCUUCUCUGUGCAUGGGAUUCUCCAGGCAAGAAUACUGGAGUGGGUGCCAUGCCCUCCUCCAGGGGACCUUCCCUACCCAGGGAUGGAACCUGCGUCUCCUGCAUCUCUUGCCUUCGCAGGCAGAUUCAUUACCGCUAGAGCCACCUGGGAGGCCUUGUGCUCUAAACAUAUAUUUGAAAUCGCAUUAUUCAUCUUUUACUUUGCUUCCUGUCUUAUCUCACAGAAGCAGAAACUGCCAAGAGAUCAAGCAGGCAUUCAUGAGUGCAUUCAUUUCCAAGGAUCCCUGCAAAGCGACAAAGGAAGACUACAGACGACUGAUCGACCUGGCAGAUCCCACUGUGCCUUGCAACAAGAGAGUCUUAUGGAGCAAAACAAAGGAGCUGGCUCGUGAAUACGCGAAACUGCGGGGCCUGGUGACCCUGGAGGACACGCUGCUGGGUUUCCUUGCGGACCGCCUCCACUGGUGUGGAGAGCCAGGCUCUCCUGAUUUGAACACGUGGUCUUGUCCAGACUGGAAGAAAGACUGCAGAACGAACUAUCGUUCUGUAUUUUGGGAAGCGCUGUCCGAAAGGUUUGCAGAAAGUGCCUGUGGUACAGUCCAGGUGUUGCUCAACGGGUCACUCGAGAACGCCUUUGAUGAAAUGAGCACAUUUGGACGAGUGGAAGCCCCUAACUUGAAGCCAAUGGUUACACUACAGGCUUGGCUGGUACAUGACCAUGGAAAUCUUUGCCGUGACACAUGCUCUGGCUCCUCUAUAAAGAAACUGAAGUCGAUCUUAAGAAGAUAUGUCAGAUUUACCUGCAAGGAUGUCAGCCGGGACGAGUUUCUUGGAAGAUUAUGAGGAUUUAUCUUGCGGAUGAGUCAAUCAGCAUGGUUGAGCCCUGGCUGUACAGAUCAACACACACGAUUCAGGAGACAUGCUGGUGGAAAGUUGGGACUUUGGCGGGAAACUUUUGUCAUAAAAUUAACACCAGAGAUGGAAACCUUUUCCUCCAGGAUCUUAAAAUAACUUAUGCUAUUGACAUAGUUUUUUAUCUUGAUCUAAUAGUCAAGAAAAAUUAAUUAUAAUAUAAAGUUAGAGUAGAAAUUUUAUACAGUUUUGUAUUUCAUUUUUCAUAUGAUUCUUUUAUAUUGCUAAUAUGUUGGUAACAUCCUCUCUGUUGAAGAAUGAGCUCUCCAAACCUAUUGGCCGGUCAAGAAAAAUAAAUGCCCAGACUUUUCAGCA
rnacentral:lncRNA from 1 species